GAUGGACGCUGGCGGCGUGCCUAAUACAUGCAAGUCGAGCGAAUAGAUAAGGAGCUUGCUCCUUUGACGUUAGCGGCGGACGGGUGAGUAACACGUGGGUAACCUACCUAUAAGACUGGAAUAACUCCGGGAAACCGGGGCUAAUGCCGGAUAACAUUUAGAACCGCAUGGUUCUAAAGUGAAAGAUGGUUUUGCUAUCACUUAUAGAUGGACCCGCGCCGUAUUAGCUAGUUGGUAAGGUAAUGGCUUACCAAGGCAACGAUACGUAGCCGACCUGAGAGGGUGAUCGGCCACACUGGAACUGAGACACGGUCCAGACUCCUACGGGAGGCAGCAGUAGGGAAUCUUCCGCAAUGGGCGAAAGCCUGACGGAGCAACGCCGCGUGAGUGAUGAAGGGUUUCGGCUCGUAAAACUCUGUUAUUAGGGAAGAACAAACGUGUAAGUAACUGUGCACGUCUUGACGGUACCUAAUCAGAAAGCCACGGCUAACUACGUGCCAGCCGCCGCUGUAA
rnacentral:rRNA from 1 species